rnacentral:rRNA from 1 species
AUUGAACGCUGGCGGAAUGCUUUACACAUGCAAGUCGAACGGCAGCACGGGGGCAACCCUGGUGGCGAGUGGCGAACGGGUGAGUAAUACAUCGGAACGUGCCCAGUCGUGGGGGAUAACGCAGCGAAAGCUGUGCUAAUACCGCAUACGAUCUAUGGAUGAAAGCGGGGGACCGUAAGGCCUUGCGCGAUUGGAGCGGCCGAUGGCAGAUUAGGUAGUUGGUGGGGUAAAGGCUCACCAAGCCGACGAUCUGUAGCUGGUCUGAGAGGACGACCAGCCACACUGGGACUGAGACACGGCCCAGACUCCUACGGGAGGCAGCAGUGGGGAAUUUUGGACAAUGGGCGCAAGCCUGAUCCAGCCAUUCCGCGUGCAGGAUGAAGGCCCUCGGGUUGUAAACUGCUUUUGUACGGAACGAAAAGCCUUCUUCUAAUACAGGAGGGUCAUGACGGUACCGUAAGAAUAAGCACCGGCUAACUACGUGCCAGCCGCCGCAGUAA